CCCAACCUCCUGCCAGCAGCAGAGCCUCCCAGAGGUCACCCCAAAGGGACACCCGGGAGUGACCCGAGGGACACCCAGAAGCUCCGGGGGGGUGGGAAGGAGGCGGCUGCCACUGCCCAGCCCAGCCCGGAGGGGAGGAGGGACCCGGGGUUGGCACUGCCCCAACCUCUGCUCCAGCCCUCCCCAAACCAACCCAUCUGUGCAGCCCCUGCCAAGGGCCUGGAAUGGUUUCCAGACUUGUAUCCCAAUUACCGGGGGCUGAGGCUUUUCCCAGAGAAGCUUUUCCAGGAAGACAGCAGGAUCCCAGUGAGGGCCCUGAAGGGGGAUUCCUCCAGGGGACAGCCAGGUUUCCUCUCAGCUCAGCUGCCUGCCUGGCUGCCCACCAGAGAGCUUUCCCCUCAGGGGCUGCUUGGAGGAGCACAGAGAGCCUGGAGCAGCUUUUCCAGCAGAUACCUCCAGGUGAAGAGGGGGAGCCUGGCGGGGGUCUCGGUGCUGCUGGCAGGGUCCUGUCUCCUCACCUCCUGCUGGCAAUCCCAGCACACCAAGCAUCACCACUGGCACAGGUACCACUGAGGGGCUGGAGCAGCAAGGAGCAGCCCUGGAUCUCCCAGCUGGAGGCAGCAGAAGUGCUCAGCAGCUCAACUCCCAGCACUGCAACCCAGCAGAGCCCAGUUUAGAACCCCAGGCAGGUGCUUUAGUGGUGGAAGGGGCUGCUUUUCAGUCACCCUCCUGCAGGCAGAGGAGGGGCAGGGGCAGUGCCAGCCUCUGCUCAGCACUGACAGGAAAUGUGCUUGAGCCACCCCUCAGGGCUCCUGCAGAGCCCCAGAUCUCUUCCUUGGGGACACCAGAGACAGGACAAACCCUUCUGAUAAGGAUUAACUGAUGUGUUUUAGGCAGAGAGGUUGGAGAGGGAGCGUGGCACGGGGGGGUUAGGCUGGAAUAACACCACUUCUUGCCCCUUAGCAGCCUUGUGCCCAGCUCUAACUCACCCCUCCCCACAGCAAACACCAACUGGCAGGAGGUGGGGAUCCCACAAAGCCCCCCCAGCCCUGCUGGGUGUCAGGGUGGGCAGCUCUGCCCGGGCUCUAGGGGAAGGAGCUUUGGGAAGGCAGCUGUAGGAUUGCUGGACACUAUUUCUGGAGGAGGAAAAUCCAUUGGAUGAGCUGCUGAGCCCAAAGGGCAAACUGCUGCCUGCAUCAGGCAAACCAGGGCAGUCAGGAGAGCUGCUGGUCACUGCCUGCCAGGGCUCAACGUGUCUGGGAGAGGAGUGAUCAUGUUACAGGCACGAAGGAAAAAAA